GGGCGUUUGGUUUAGGGGUAUAAUAUCCGUUUCGCAUACGGAAGGUCGCCGGUUCGAUUCCGGCAACGUCCA
rnacentral:tRNA from 5 species